AACCCUGUGAAUUCGCUAGUUUGAUAACGUAGCAGUUUUCAAAACUAACUUGAAAUUGAGCUACGAUCAGGUCGAGGCAGAGUCUCUUUAUUUUCAUUAUAAGGUUUCAAUAGAGAGUCACUGCAUUCACGCGAUUGAUGAGAAUGGAUCGUUCUGCUUACAACGCCAAUCAAUACUAGGUUUUAGAGCUUGAACAGCAGCGCAUCAUGUAGCAUAGUAAAGAUUUCUAGAUCUCCAAUCUGGCUCAAGUUCGACACCCUAACUCUAAACUCAGCGAUGAUACGUGUGCACUUUUAGCACGACUGCAUUAAAACCCAACUGUUUCCCCCAAAGCACAAUGAAAGUCUUGACAGCAUCUAUGAUGAACAACUCGUGGUAGAGUUAUAAACCAUUACAAAUGCGCUUCAACACACAUGGCAAUCAACAAAAUCAGUCUCACCCAGUGUGAACCGAAUCUGCAGGAUAAGACACGCUAGAACCGUCUGUGUAACCGCCAUAUCCUCCCCUUCACC
rnacentral:lncRNA from 1 species